rnacentral:rRNA from 1 species
CUUAAAACCCAAAAGACUUGGCGGUGCCCUAUACCACCUAGAGGAGCCUGUUCUAUAAUCGAUAAUCCCCGAUCAACCUCACCAUCUCUUGCCAAUACCGCCUGUAUACCUCCGUCGUCAACUGACCCCUCAAGGGAAAUAGUUGGUUUAAUGGCUUAUCACCAGAAAGUCAGGUCAAGGUGCAGCGUAUGAGAUGGGAAGAAAUGGGCUACAUUUUCUACCUUUAGACUACACGAAAGAUCACUAUGAAACAUGAUUGGAAGGCGGAUUUAGCAGUAAAAAGAGAUUAGAGCGCUCUUUUUAAGUAGGCCCUAGGGCGCGC